rnacentral:rRNA from 1 species
GAUGAACGCUAGCGGUAGGCUUAACACAUGCAAGUCGAGGGGUAACAGGGUAGCAAUACUGCUGACGACCGGCGCACGGGUGAGUAACGCGUAUGCAAUCUGCCUUUAACUGGAGCAUAGCUUCGAGAAAUCGGAAUUAAUACUCCAUAAUAUUAACGAAUCGCAUGGUUUGUUAAUUAAAGCUCUGGCGGUUAAAGAUGAGCAUGCGUGACAUUAGUUUGUUGGUGAGGUAACGGCUCACCAAGACUACGAUGUCUAGGGGGUCUGAGAGGAUGGUCCCCCACACUGGUACUGAGACACGGACCAGACUCCUACGGGAGGCAGCAGUGAGGAAUAUUGGUCAAUGGGCGCAAGCCUGAACCAGCCAUACCGCGUGAAGGAUGAAGGCUCUAGUAGUUGUAAACUUCUUUUAUAUGGGAAGAAACCUAUUUUCGUGAAAGUAGUUGACGGUACCAUAAGAAUAAGCACCGGCUAACUCCGUGCCAGCAGCCGCGGUAAAG